AGUGACAGGUGGUGCAUGGUUGUCGUCAGCUCGUGUCGUGAGAUGUUGGGUUAAGUCCCGCAACGAGCGCAACCCUUGAUCUUAGUUGCCAGCAUUUAGUUGGGCACUCUAAGGUGACUGCCGGUGACAAACCGGAGGAAGGUGGGGAUGACGUCAAAUCAUCAUGCCCCUUAUGACCUGGGCUACACACGUGCUACAAUGGAUGGUACAAAGGGCUGCAAGACCGCGAGGUCAAGCCAAUCCCAUAAAACCAUUCUCAGUUCGGAUUGUAGGCUGCAACUCGCCUACAUGAAGCUGGAAUCGCUAGUAAUCGCGGAUCAGCAUGCCGCGGUGAAUACGUUCCCGGGCCUUGUACACACCGCCCGUCACACCACGAGAGUUUGUAACACCCGAAGUCGGUGGGGUAACCUUUAUGGAGCCAGCCGCCUAAGGUGGGACAGAUGAUUGGGGUGAAGUCGUAACAAGGUAGCCGUAUCGGAAGGUGCGGCUGGAUCACCUCCUUUCUA
rnacentral:rRNA from 1 species